rnacentral:rRNA from 1 species
UGCGUAGGCGGUUCUUUGUGUCCGCUGUGAAAUCCCCGGGCUUAACCUGGGAAUUGCAGUGGAAACUAGAGGACUCAGAAUCCGGCAGAGGGGGGUGGAAUGCCACGUGUAGCAGUGAAAUGCGUAGAGAUGUGGCGGAACACCGAUGGCGAAGGCAGCCCCCUGGGCUGAGAUUGACGCUCAGGCACGAAAGCGUGGGGAGCAAACAGGAUUAGAUACCCUGGUAGUCCACGCCCUAAACGAUGAUCACUAGGUGUUGGGGAAGCGAUUUCCUAGUACCGCAGCUAACGCUGAAGUGAUCCGCCUGGGGAGUACGGUCGCAAGAUUAAA